rnacentral:rRNA from 1 species
UACGUAGGGUGCAAGCGUUAAUCGGAAUUACUGGGCGUAAAGCGUGCGCAGGCGGUUGUGCAAGACAGGUGUGAAAUCCCCGGGCUUAACCUGGGAACUGCACUUGUGACUGCACGGCUUGAGUGCGGCAGAGGGGGAUGGAAUUCCGCGUGUAGCAGUGAAAUGCGUAGAUAUGCGGAGGAACACCGAUGGCGAAGGCAAUCCCCUGGGCCUGCACUGACGCUCAUGCACGAAAGCGUGGGGAGCAAACAGG